rnacentral:misc_RNA from 1 species
AAAAAAAUAAUAGAAAGAGUGGCAUCUCAAAUCUCAAUUAUUCCCUCCUGGAGGAUACACCAUGAAUCUGUGUACAAUGAUGUAUUGGAAAGAAAAUGCUAAUGAUACUUGAUGUCAUCAAACGAAAAGGAAGAUGGUAUCAAUCACUUGAACCUCUUUCCCCAUGUAGUAAUAACUGUUCAAUCAUUUGCACUCAGAGCUCCUUUUCUUUUCUUUUCCCUUGUAUUGAUCUUUCUGUUAUAUGCAGGCAAGGCAUUCUUUUCUCUAUCGUACAGGUUUUUGAAACAAAAUACACUGCGAAAACUCAGCUCUGAAACACGUUUAUUUUUUUCAUUGCAAGUUGUCUUUGAAACGAAACUCUCAUUGCUGAAACUGAAACACACUCGCCUGACACUCCUCAUGAAGCCUGCCGUUCUUGAAUGUCGUCUUCCAAUCAUCCACUGGAAGAGCCACACUUUCUUUAAUGGUUUAGUUUAGCCUAUCAUGCCAAUCCCAGUAAGACACAAUCUUGAUUGCUAGCUAGUACAGAAAUCCAAAUUACAUUGUUUCUUUUAUUUUUGUAGCAGUAAAUAAGCAUCAAAGCCUUCAUAUCUCAUCUCUCAACCUAAUGACAUGAAGAUGGACCCUAUGAAGUUCAAAAUCUUACAAUAACUUCAGAUUUCAUUUAUAAGAACAAGAGUUGCAGAAGCA